rnacentral:rRNA from 1 species
UACGUAGGCAGCAAGCGUUGUUCGGAUUCAUUGGGCGUAAAGGGUGCGUAGGCGGCGGGGCAAGUCAGGUGUGAAAUCCCGGGGCUCAACCCUGGAACUGCACUUGAUACUGCUUUGCUAGAGUACUGGAGAGGAGAUUGGAAUUUACGGUGUAGCAGUGAAAUGCGUAGAUAUCGUAAGGAAGACCAGUGGCGAAGGCGAAUCUCUGGACAGUUACUGACGCUGAGGCACGAAGGCCAGGGGAGCAAACGGG